GGUCCUGUAGUCCAACGGCUAAGACGGCUCGUUUACACCGAGUAGACCGAGGUUCGAUUCCUCGCAGGACCA
rnacentral:tRNA from 1 species